rnacentral:rRNA from 1 species
CUACUCUUGACAUCCACGGAAUUCGGCAGAGAUGCCUUAGUGCCUUCGGGAACCGUGAGACAGGUGCUGCAUGGCUGUCGUCAGCUCGUGUUGUGAAAUGUUGGGUUAAGUCCCGCAACGAGCGCAACCCUUAUCCUUUGUUGCCAGCACGUCAUGGUGGGAACUCAAAGGAGACUGCCGGUGAUAAACCGGAGAAAGGUGGGGAUGACGUCAAGUCAUCAUGGCCCUUACGAGUAGGGCUACACACGUGCUACAAUGGCGCAUACAAAGAGAAGCGACCUCGCGAGAGCAAGCGGACCUCACAAAGUGCGUCGUAGUCCGGAUCGGAGUCUGCAACUCGACUCCGUGAAGUCGGAAUCGCUAGUAAUCGUGGAUCAGAAUGCCACGGUGAAUACGUUCCC